rnacentral:rRNA from 1 species
UACGUAGGGUGCAAGCGUUAAUCGGAAUUACUGGGCGUAAAGCGUGCGCAGGCGGUUUUGUAAGUUUGUCGUGAAAUCCCCGGGCUUAACCUGGGAAUUGCGUUGGAGACUGCAAGGCUAGAAUCUGGCAGAGGGGGGUAGAAUUCCACGUGUAGCAGUGAAAUGCGUAGAGAUGUGGAGGAACACCGAUGGCGAAGGCAGCCCCCUGGGUCAAGAUUGACGCUCAUGCACGAAAGCGUGGGGAGCAAACAGG